rnacentral:rRNA from 1 species
CAUGGAGGGUGAGAAUCCCGUCCGGUUGAUCAUUUGCGUUUUACGAUACGCUUUCUAAGAGUCAAGUUGUUUGGGAUUGCAGCUUAAAAUGGGAGGUAAAUUUCUCCUAAGGCUAAAUAACGGCGAGAGACCGAUAGCGAACAAGUACCGUGAGGGAAAGAUGAAAAGAACUUUGAAAAGAGAGUUAAACAGUACGUGAAAUUGUUGAAAGGGAAACGAUUGAAGCCAGUCGUACCUUCGGGUAAUCAGCCUUUCGGGUGCGAUUCUGUGGGGUUUGAGGAGCUUAACACCUUCAUGCUUUGCAUAUUCGUGCUCUUGGGUGUACUUGCCCGUGUGGUUGGUUAACAUCAAUUUCGGGCACCAUAAAAUGGCUGGGGGAAUGUAGCUUCGAUCUUGUAUUGAAGUGUUAUAGCCUUCGGUAGAUGUGGUGAUCGAGAUUGAGGAUUGCAACGGAUACCUUUCGGGGCUACCUGUCUGAUCUCUGAUCGUUGUUUUGGUGCUGAAAGCGUGCUUACGGUUAUCAAAGUCGAUGGUCAAUAGGUUAGAACGGGUUAAAUUCGUUAAGGAUGUUGACGUAAUGG